rnacentral:rRNA from 1 species
AUUGAACGCUGGCGGCAUGCUUUACACAUGCAAGUCGAACGGCAGCGCGGGCUUCGGCCUGGCGGCGAGUGGCGAACGGGUGAGUAAUGCAUCGGAACGUGCCCAGUAGUGGGGGAUAGCUCGGCGAAAGCCGGAUUAAUACCGCAUACGACCUGAGGGGGAAAGCGGGGGACCGAAAGGCCUCGCGCUAUUGGAGCGGCCGAUGUCGGAUUAGCUAGUUGGUGGGGUAAAGGCUUACCAAGGCGACGAUCCGUAGCUGGUCUGAGAGGACGACCAGCCACACUGGGACUGAGACACGGCCCAGACUCCUACGGGAGGCAGCAGUGGGGAAUUUUGGACAAAGGGGGCAACCCUGAUCCAGCCAUGCCGCGUGCGGGAAGAAGGCCUUCGGGUUGUAAACCGCUUUUGUUCGGGAAGAAAUCCUCUGGGCUAAUACCCCGGGGGGAUGACGGUACCGGAAGAAUAAGCACCGGCUAACUACGUG